GCCCAGACUCCUACGGGAGGCAGCAGUGGGGGAUAUUGCACAAUGGGGGGAACCCUGAUGCAGCGACGCCGCGUGAAGGAAGAAGUAUCUCGGUAUGUAAACUUCUAUCAGCAGGGAAGAAAAUGACGGUACCUGACUAAGAAGCCCCGGCUAACUACGUGCCAGCAGCCGCGGUAAUACGUAGGGGGCAAGCGUUAUCCGGAUUUACUGGGUGUAAAGGGGGCGCAGACGGCAGCGCAAGCCAGGAGUGAAAGCCCGGGGCCCAACCCCGGGACUGCUCUUGGAACUGCGCGGCUGGAGUGCAGGAGGGGCAGGCGGAAUUCCUGGUGUAGCGGUGAAAUGCGUAGAUAUCAGGAGGAACACCGGUGGCGAAGGCGGCCUGCUGGACGGCAACUGACGCUGAGGCUCGAAAGCGUGGGGAGCAAACAGGAUUAGAUACCCGCGUAAUA
rnacentral:rRNA from 1 species